AUUGAACGCUGGCGGCAGGCCUAACACAUGCAAGUCGAACGGUAACAGGAAGAAGCUUGCUUCUUUGCUGACGAGUGGCGGACGGGUGAGUAAUGUCUGGGAAACUGCCUGAUGGAGGGGGAUAACUACUGGAAACGGUAGCUAAUACCGCAUAACGUCGCAAGACCAAAGAGGGGGACCUUCGGGCCUCUUGCCAUCGGAUGUGCCCAGAUGGGAUUAGCUAGUAGGUGGGGUAACGGCUCACCUAGGCGACGAUCCCUAGCUGAUCUGAGAGGAUGACCAGCCACACUGGAACUGAGACACGGUCCAGACUCCUACGGGAGGCAGCAGUGGGGAAUAUUGCACAAUGGGCGCAAGCCUGAUGCAGCCAUGCCGCGUGUAUGAAGAAGGCCUUCGGGUUGUAAAGUACUUUCAGCGGGGAGGAAGGGAGUAAAGUUAAUACCUUUGCUCAUUGACGUUACCCGCAGAAGAAGCACCGGCUAACUCCGUG
rnacentral:rRNA from 1 species